GAUGAACGCUGGCGGCGUGCCUAAUACAUGCAAGUCGAGCGAACAGACGAGGAGCUUGCUCCUCUGACGUUAGCGGCGGACGGGUGAGUAACACGUGGAUAACCUACCUAUAAGACUGGGAUAACUUCGGGAAACCGGAGCUAAUACCGGAUAAUAUAUUGAACCGCAUGGUUCAAUAGUGAAAGACGGUUUUGCUGUCACUUAUAGAUGGAUCCGCGCCGCAUUAGCUAGUGGUAAGGUAACGGCUUACCAAGGCAACGAUGCGUAGCCGACCUGAGAGGGUGAUAGGCACCAUUGGAAAUGAGCCACGGUCCAGACGCCGACGGGAGGAAGCAGAAGGGAAUCGUCCGAAAGGGACGAAAGCCGGACGGAGCAACGCCGCGGGAGUGAGGAAGGUGUUCGGAUCGUAAAACUCUUUUAUUAGGGAAAAAAAAAUGUUAAAGUAACUAUGCGCGUCUUGACGGUACCUAAUCAGAAAGCCACGGCUAACUACGUG
rnacentral:rRNA from 1 species